UACGGAGGGUGCAAGCGUUAUCCGGAUUUACUGGGCGUAAAGGGUGCGCAGGCGGUUAUGUAAGUCAGUGGUGAAAUCUCCGGGCUUAACCCGGAAACUGCCGUUGAUACUAUAUAUCUUGAAUGCUGUGGAGGUAAGCAGAAUAUGUCAUGUAGCGGUGAAAUGCUUAGAGAUGACAUAGAAUACCUAUUGCGAAGGCAGCUUACUACGCAGAUAUUGACGCUCAUGCACGAAAGCGUGGGGAUCAAACAGG
rnacentral:rRNA from 1 species